rnacentral:rRNA from 1 species
UUAAAGUGGUACGCGAGCUGGGUUUAGAACGUCGUGAGACAGUUCGGUCCCUAUCUGCCGUGGGCGUUGGAGAAUUGAGGGAAGCUGCUCCUAGUACGAGAGGACCGGAGUGGACGAACCUCUGGUGUUCCGGUUGUGACGCCAGUCGCAUUGCCGGGUAGCUACGUUCGGACGGGAUAACCGCUGAAAGCAUCUAAGCGGGAAGCCCCUCCCAAGACUAGUUCUCCCCGACCCCUUGAGGGUCCUUAAGAGCCGUCCAAGACUAGGACGUUGAUAGGCUGGGUGUGGAAGCGCUGUAAAGCGUUGAGCUAACCAGUACUAAUUGCUCGUGCGGCUUGACCAU